UACAUAUGUACAUAUUAGAUGCAUCUCAGUCAUUAAACGCACAAUUUGUGGAAGAGAAAAUUUUUCGAAAAUCGAAUUACUUUCAAAGUAAUAGCUAUUAGGUAUUUUCGAAAUCGUUUGGAUUUUAUUUAUUUUCGCGCGAUUGGUAACAAUUCUGCUCAUUUUUUAAAAAACCUAAAAUUAUGAAAAAAAUUGCCGGCAUGCAAUGAGACGAAAGUUAUUCACGUUUUUUCUCUGACGCACGACAAGUAUCGACUGCAGCGAGCCUAGCGGAGUAUGCCACAUGCAUUUCAUUGUUUAAAGUCAGUCUGGCAAGCGCAGGUUGAAAUCGGGGUUGAGAAUUGAUAAAAUUAAAUUGUUGCACGCCGCUUCAUAAUUGGAGAAAAAGUAGAGAAAUAUAA